rnacentral:misc_RNA from 1 species
GUAAUAAGCAGUCAGGAAGUGAUACAAAUAAAAUGUUGUCAGAGAGCCAACCUUUCAGUCUGAUACCCUUCUUUCUGAUGUGGUACAGUGGCAGUUAGCAGAAGGGGGAGAGAUCUGAUGUGGAUAACUCCUAACACUUUCUGGUCCCAACUCUGAAAGAUAUGUGGUACAAUUGUACAAGUAUGUUGAGUACAAGUAAAGCAUAUCACAAUUAGAUCUUACCUCUGAUGCAAGUUGUUACUAGCAUUG